rnacentral:rRNA from 1 species
GACGAACGCUGGCGGCGUGCUUAACACAUGCAAGUCGAACGGAAAGGCCCUGCUUUUGUGGGGUGCUCGAUUGGCGAACGGGUGAGUAACACGUGAGUAACCUGCCCUUGACUUUGGGAUAACUUCAGGAAACUGGGGCUAAUACCGGAUAGGAUCUCCUGCUGCAUGGUGGGGGUUGGAAAGUUUCGGCGGUUGUGGAUGGACUCGCGGCUUAUCAGCUUGUUGGUGGGGUAGUGGCUUACCAGGGCUUUGACGGGUAGCCGGCAUGGGAGGGGGACCGGCCACAUUGGGACUGAGAUACGGCCCAGACUCCUACGGGAGGCAGCAGUGGGGAAUAUUGCACAAUGGGCGGAAGCCUGAUGCAGCAACGCCGCGUGCGGGAUGACGGCCUUCGGGUUGUAAACCGCUUUCGCCUGUGACGAAGCGUGAGUGACGGUAAUGGGUAAAGAAGCACCGGCUAACUACGUG